GUCCCACUUGAGCCAAAGCCUCCUUGAAAUUCAUUCUCAUAACAAACCUGAGAAUAUGGGCUGGUAACUGAAUCAAGAUGAUGUCUAACUAAUUGCUUGCAUUGUUUGGCCAGAUCCUUUAUGAAUCGAUUGUAAGCAUGCCUUAAGGCAGCAUAAAACCCAACAUAUCCAUCCAUAUUUCCACUUUGCUUUGCAUAUUCUGAGUCACGAACACGAUUUCUUUCCAGAGCAAGAUCAAAGAGAUUCCCCAAAACAAAGGCAAGCCUAUCACAAGCAGUGUCAAGAAGAGGAGCAAGCCAUGACCGGGCAGCAGCACGGGCAAUCUCUGCAGAAGCUU
rnacentral:misc_RNA from 1 species